ACGCUAAUACCGCAUACNACCUUCGGGUGAAAGCNGGGGACCUUCCGGCCUUGCACGAAUAGAUGACCCAAUGUCUGAUUAGCUAGUUGGCGGGGUAAAGGCCCACCAAGGCGACGAUCCGUAGCUGGUCUGAGAGGAUGAUCAGCCACACUGAAACUGACACACCGCCCACACUCCUACGGGAGGCAGCAGUGGGGAAUAUUGGACAAUGGCCGCACGCCUGAUCCCGCCAUACCGCGUGAGUGAAGAAGGCCUUCGGGUUGUAAAGCCCUUUUGUUGGGAAAGAAAAGCAGUCCAUUAAUACUCUGUUGUUCUGACGGUACCCAAAGAAUAAGCACCGGCUAACUUCAUGCCCGCAGCCGCGGAAAUACNAAGGGUGCAAGCGUUUCUCGGAAUUACUGGCCCUAAAGCGUGCGUAGGUGGUUGUUUAAGUCUGUUGUGAAAGCCCUGGGGUCAACCUGGGAAUUGCAGUGGAUACUGGACGACUAGAGUGUGNGANAGGGUANCGNNNUUCCCGGUGUANCGCUGAAAUGCAUANAGAUCNGGAGGAACAUCCAUGGCNAACGCGGNNAGNUGGACCAACACUGACACUGAGGCACGAANGCCUGNGGNGCAAACAGGAUUAGAUACCCUGGUAGUCCACNCCCNNNANNAUGCNNNCUGGAUGCUGGGNGC
rnacentral:rRNA from 1 species